ensembl:lncRNA
CGCCCCAGACCGCCGAGGCCUGUGGACCGGAAAGCCCGAAAUGGUGAGGUGACCGGUGCCUACUGACUCUCACAGGAGCAGUCUUCCAUAGCCCGGGGUGAGACUUGUAAAACUGCCCUCUACGGCCGUCCCGGAAAGUAGACGGCUGUUUCUGCAGACGCUUAAAAAAGAGAAAGAAAGAAAGAAAGAAAAAAAAAAGCCCUUCCAUCCCCCAAGAACUGGGUUUGAGUUGCUUUUCAUCUGGAGUGGCAGUGAUUCAGCGACCCCCUUCUCAGCAGCAGGCAGUGACAGAGACAGGAGACGAAAAACACAGCGAAUGAAUCAGACGCUAUCUUGGAAGGGGAAUUGUGAGUUAGGAAGCACAGAGGGGGCCAACCUAAGGCAUUUCAAGAGAUGA